rnacentral:rRNA from 1 species
CGAAGGGGGCGAGCGUUGUUCGGAUUUACUGGGCGUAAAGGGCGCGCAGGCGGCUCAUUUUGUCAGGCGUGAAAGCCCCGGGCUUAACCUGGGAACUGCGUUUGAUACGGAUGGGCUAGAGUUCGGGAGAGGAGAGUGGAAUUCCCAGUGUAGAGGUGAAAUUCGUAGAUAUUGGGAAGAACACCGGUGGCGAAGGCGGCUCUCUGGACCGAGACUGACGCUGAGGCGCGAAAGCGUGGGGAGCAAACAGG